rnacentral:rRNA from 1 species
GACGAACGCUGGCGGCGUGCCUAAUACAUGCAAGUUGAGCGCUGAAGGUUGGUACUUGUACCAACUGGAUGAGCAGCGAACGGGUGAGCAACGCGUGGGGAAUCUGCCUUUGAGCGGGGGACAACAUUUGGAAACGAAUGCUAAUACCGCAUAAAAACUUUAAACACAAGUUUUAAGUUUGAAAGAUGCAAUUGCAUCACUCAAAGAUGAUCCCGCGUUGUAUUAGCUAGUUGGUGAGGUAAAGGCUCACCAAGGCGAUGAUACAUAGCCGACCUGAGAGGGUGAUCGGCCACAUUGGGACUGAGACACGGCCCAAACUCCUACGGGAGGCAGCAGUAGGGAAUCUUCGGCAAUGGACGAAAGUCUGACCGAGCAACGCCGCGUGAGUGAAGAAGGUUUUCGGAUCGUAAAACUCUGUUGGUAGAGAAGAACGUUGGUGAGAGUGGAAAGCUCAUCAAGUGACGGUAACUACCCAGAAAGGGACAGCUAACUACGUG